ACCUUCUUUUUGUCUCGACUGUGGUAUGGAUGAGAGGUGGUCUAAUGAUACACUUUGGUACCACUUAUAUUAGCAGUGUUUGACCAUAUAUUUUGGGCUGCAUUCUGUUUAAUUGUGUUUUUUUUAAUUGUAUUUCUCUUGCUGAAGCUGGCACUGCCCUGUUGCUCCAUGUCUACACAAUGGAGUAAUAUAAAUGCCCUUGACAAUACAGGGCAGUUUUGCAAAAUAUUUUGUUUAGUAUUAUGUUCCUCGGAAGUAAACAUCAAUGAAAUAUCAAUGUGAAUGAAUGUUUGUCUUGCAUUCUACAUGAUCUUUCAGUCAUCACAUGAUGAGAAUCAUGGGACGCCUUUGGAAGACUUGGCUGGGUCUCGGUCAGCUGGGUGUCUCAAGGUUUUCAUUCAACGAGAUUAUUCUGAAGGAACCUCAGUAAAAUUUCAGACAAAUUAUCCUACUGAACUUGAAGGAAAAGUU